rnacentral:rRNA from 1 species
GAUGAACGCUGGCGGCGUGCCUAAUACAUGCAAGUCGAGCGAACAGAUGAGGAGCUUGCUCCUCUGACGUUAGCGGCGGACGGGUGAGUAACACGUGGAUAACCUACCUAUAAGACUGGGAUAACUUCGGGAAACCGGAGCUAAUACCGGAUAAUAUAUUGAACCGCAUGGUUCAAUAGUGAAAGACGGUUUUGCUGUCACUUAUAGAUGGAUCCGCGCCGCAUUAGCUAGUUGGUAAGGUAACGGCUUACCAAGGCAACGAUGCGUAGCCGACCUGAGAGGGGGAUCGGCCACACUGGAACUGAGACGCGGUCCAGACUACUACGGGAGGCAGCAGUAGGGAAUAUUCCGCAAUGGGGGGAAGCCUGACGGAGCAACGCCGCGUGAGUGAUGAAGGUCUUCGGAUCGUAAAACUCUGUUAUUAGGGAAGAACAAAUGUGUAAGUAACUAUGCACGUCUUGACGGUACCUAAUCAGAAAGCCACGGCUAACUACGUG